GACAGAGGGUGCAAACGUUGUUCGGAAUUACCGGGCGUAAAGCGCGUGUAGGCGGCUAUGUAAGUCGGGCGUGAAAUCCCACGGCUCAACCGUGGAAGUGCACCCGAAACUGCGUAGCUAGAGUCCUGGAGAGGAAGGUGGAAUGCUUGGUGUAGAGGUGAAAUUCGUAGAUAUCAAGCGGAACACCGGUGGCGAAGGCGGCCUUCUGGACAGUGACUGACGCUGAGACGCGAAAGCGUGGGGAGCAAACAGG
rnacentral:rRNA from 1 species